CUUAGCCCUCGUACAGCAUUUGGUGGGAGUAAUUCCAUGAAUUCGACUGGAAUUACAUGAAUGCGAAUGGAAUUGUAUAACCACGCUGAUGCUAUCUGUGACAAAUGGCUCGAAGAAAGUUUACAUAGCCAAAGAAAUUUACUUCAAGAAUACAAGGAAGCUUCUCCAAGCUGGUAUCAAAGAACUACUGUGAUGUCAGAAGAUGGCUGUCCUAUGUAACAAUUAAUAACAAGAGUGCCAACACAAAACCAAAGUUAAAUAAUGACAUUUAACACGCUGUUUAUGCUAAACAAACAUGAUGGAAACUUAA